rnacentral:rRNA from 1 species
UUGCCCUAGUAACGGCGAGUGAAGCGGCAACAGCUCAAAUUUGAAAUCUGGCUUCGGCCCGAGUUGUAAUUUGCAGAGGAAGCUUUAGGCGCGGCACCUUCUGAGUCCCCUGGAACGGGGCGCCAUAGAGGGUGAGAGCCCCGUAUAGUUGGAUGCCUAGCCUGUGUAAAGCUCCUUCGACGAGUCGAGUAGUUUGGGAAUGCUGCUCAAAAUGGGAGGUAAAUUUCUUCUAAAGCUAAAUACCGGCCAGAGACCGAUAGCGCACAAGUAGAGUGAUCGAAAGAUGAAAAGCACUUUGAAAAGAGGGUUAAAUAGCACGUGAAAUUGUUGAAAGGGAAGCGCUUGUGACCAGACUUGCGCCGGGCGGAUCAUCCGGUGUUCUCACCGGUGCACUCCGCCCGGCUCAGGCCAGCAUCGGUUCUCGCGGGGGGAUAAAGGUCCUGGGAACGUAGCUCCUCCGGGAGUGUUAUAGCCCGGGGCGUAAUGCCCUCGCGGGGACCGAGGUUCGCGCAUCUGCAAGGAUGCUGGCGUAAUGGUCAUCAGCGACCCGUCUUGAAACACGGACCAAGGAGUCAAGGUUUUGCGCGAGUGUUUGGGUGUAAAACCCGCACGCGUAAUGAAAGUGAACGUAGGUGAGAGCUUCGGCGCAUCAUCGACCGAUCCUGAUGUUUUCGGAUGGAUUUGAGUAGGAGCGUUAAGCCUUGGACCCGAAAGAUGGUGAACUAUGCUUGGAUAGGGUGAAGCCAGAGGAAACUCUGGUGGAGGCUCGCAGCGGUUCUGACGUGCAAAUCGAUCGUCAAAUCUGAGCAUGGGGGCGAAAGACUAAUCG